CCCAGUGGAGCGAUCCUGGCCGACAGAGGUCAUGUUCUGUGGUGGGAGAGUAACUGAGCACAUCAUUGAGCGCACAACUUGACCCUGGAUUGGAAACUAGGAACAGACAGAAGGAGGCUGAAAGCUUCACGAUGCCGGCGGAUAAGAUCACGCCUUCACCCUUUUUUAUUAGAGGCACUCACUGAUCCGUGGGCUCCGUUCCCCUCGCGGGGGAAGUCGUUUGUCAAAGACAGAUCCCCUCAGGAGCUCUGCUGGAUUUAGGGGUUUCCUCCGCUGUUCACGGGGCACAUUUCCCAGAAUUACACUCAUUCAUGAUGAGUGAAAGCAUCCAGAGGAAAAAAGAGCUGCCUCUCGCCUCCAUUCAGCAGCCCAGGCCCCUAAUCUCCGCUGGGACAGCCCACAAUGAGAAAGGAAGGCCGACACUCACAUCAAGCACCAGGCUCUAUAAAGGCACAAUGACAAGGGAGAACAUGUCAUACCUCGUCUGUUUGUGCCGCUAGAAACUUUUAAAACAGUUUAAAUGCCUCCGUAGUUUUUCCUUUGACACGCAGAAGUUACUCCUGUGUUGUUGUCAUCAUAUUAAAGACCUCAUGUGUCAUCUUCGGCAGA